UUUAUCUUUUUGGGUUUUCUUUCCCACAUUAAUAUAUGUCAAUCUCGUUUCAGCAUUUGGCUUGGAGGCGUGGUCUUUGCUCCUUCAAAGCAAAGUAUCUACUUCAUCCUUUAUGGGGACUUAUUUGUCAUUUACCGAGGAGUUGAUUGUUGGUGAAUCAUGGAAACACCAGAAAUAAGAAAAGCCCACUCUGCUUUCGUGGACCCCCGUCAUGGAGGUAUGAGAAAGUGGGACGUGGAAAAGGAAUCCUAAGGAAUCUAGUUAAGCUGAAGAAUCCCAAAUUCCCAAGAUUAGAAGCAACUUCCAAGCGCAAUAGCCAACACACUCAUCCUUUCCUUGUUAUACAAAAGAACCCAUUUAAUUUGGUUGCGCAGAGGAAGGGUUAUUGGAUGGCCCAUAUGAUCUCUCAUCUCAUCCAUGCAGUUGGCACUCGUUAGCUUUCUGUCCUUUUCUACUCUAUCAAAUCAAAAGACAUCACUUUGAGCAACUUUGAGGGACGUGUUCUUAUCAUUUUCUGUACGUGUCUUCUUACCAUUCAACUAUUAAUGAUCUUAUAACGAGGGCCACACCAAUAAUUCUUUGAAUCAUCAAUCAAAAGUCUCUGCUUAGCACGUUUUGGAUGACCAUCCUGGGGUUCAAAACUUCAAACUUGGAAACCUUUUACUGUUAGCUUCAAACUUAAGUAUUUGAAAAACGCACUAAAAAAAAAAAAAGAAGUCAAAUAGUACAACAAUAGAAUCUCAUCUUAUAGCUUGACACGAAGAAUUGCCUUUCGAAUUAAAUAGAAGAAUCUCUUAUCGAGAUAAAAACGAGAGAACUAGAGUAGCCUUUAUUACACAUGCUUUGUGGUUCCCAUAAUGUGCUCACUUGGGAACUUGUUGCCCCAAACCAUUUCAAGAGCCUCCACUAAUUGAACCAAUAGAAUCUUUGUUUAGCUCAUUAAUAUAAGGCAAGGGAAAAAGGUAAUCGUUACUUCGAUCUUGGGUUUGGACCUUAGUUUUUAUAAAAUAGUUGGAUUUAGCCUUUGAAAUCAGGUCUCCAUUAUGUAGCUAACAGGGAUACUGUGUGUGAUGACAUGGUAUUUGUUUUGCUUUAAAAGUGGUAGUUAUUACAACUUGAGUGCAAACAAUAGAAGCUUGUACCGAAGUGUGUGUCAAAUUAGCUAAGUUAGAAAUUAAUAAGAGGGAGGUUAAAGUAA